UAGGGAAUCUUCGGCAAUGGGGGCAACCCUGACCGAGCAACGCCGCGUGAGUGAAGAAGGUUUUCGGAUCGUAAAGCUCUGUUGUAAGAGAAGAACGAGUGUGAGAGUGGAAAGUUCACACUGUGACGGUAACUUACCAGAAAGGGACGGCUAACUACGUGCCAGCAGCCGCGGUAAUACGUAGGUCCCGAGCGUUAUCCGGAUUUAUUGGGCGUAAAGCGAGCGCAGGCGGUUAGAUAAGUCUGAAGUUAAAGGCUGUGGCUUAACCAUAGUACGCUUUGGAGACUGUUUAACUUGAGUGCAAGAGGGGAGAGUGGAAUUCCAUGUGUAGCGGUGAAAUGCGUAGAUAUAUGGAGGAACACCGGUGGCGAAAGCGGCUCUCUGGCUUGUAACUGACGCUGAGGCUCGAAAGCGUGGGGAGCGAACAGGAUUAGAUACCCUGGUAGUCCACGCCGUAAACGAUGAGUGCUAGGUGUUGGAUCCUUUCCGGGAUUCAGUGCCGCAGCUAACGCAUUAAGCACUCCGCCUGGGGAGUACGACCGCAAGGUUG
rnacentral:rRNA from 1 species